GGGCUUGUGGUUUAGUGGUAUAAUACUCCCUUAGCACCUGCAUCUAAAGAUCUUCAACUUCGAAGUUUCUAUUAAAUCUGUGUUACUCCGCCUGGGAGUGGUCCAGGGUUCGAUUCCCUGCAAGUCCA
rnacentral:tRNA from 1 species